AUUGAACGCUGGCGGCAUGCUUUACACAUGCAAGUCGAACGGCAGCGCGGGCUUCGGCCUUGCGGCGAGUGGCGAACGGGUGAGUAAUGCAUCGGAACGUGCCCAGUAGUGGGGGAUAGCCCGGCGAAAGCCGGAUUAAUACCGCAUACGACCUGAGGGUGAAAGCGGGGGACCGAACGGCCUCGCGCUAUUGGAGCGGCCGAUGUCGGAUUAGCUAGUUGGUGGGGUAAAGGCUUACCAAGGCGACGAUCCGUAGCUGGUCUGAGAGGACGACCAGCCACACUGGGACUGAGACACGGCCCAGACUCCUACGGGAGGCAGCAGUGGGGAAUUUUGGACAAUGGGGGCAACCCUGAUCCAGCCAUGCCGCGUGCGGGAAGAAGGCCUUCGGGUUGUAAACCGCUUUUGUUCGGGAAGAAAUCCUCUGGGCUAAUACCCCGGGGGGAUGACGGUACCGGAAGAAUAAGCACCGGCUAACUACGUG
rnacentral:rRNA from 1 species